UACGAAGGGGGCUAGCGUUGCUCGGAAUCACUGGGCGUAAAGGGUGCGUAGGCGGGUCUUUAAGUCAGGGGUGAAAUCCUGGAGCUCAACUCCAGAACUGCCUUUGAUACUGGUGAGCUUGAGUCCGGAAGAGGUGAGUGGAACUGCGAGUGUAGAGGUGAAAUUCGUAGAUAUUCGCAAGAACACCAGUGGCGAAGGCGACUCACUGGUCCGGUACUGACGCUGAGGUGCGAAAGCGUGGGGAG
rnacentral:rRNA from 1 species